GAGUUUGAUCCUGGCUCAGGAUGAACGCUGGCGGCGUACCUAAGGUAUGCAAGUCGAACGGGCUUGUGCUUCGCACAAGAAUUCGAAUAAUAUUCGAGUUCUCGCGCGGAGCGCGAGUCAGUGGCAGACGGGUGAGUAACGCGUAGGAAUCUACCUCGGAGAAGUGAAUAGCCCCGCGAAAGCGGGAGUAAUACACCAUACGUCCCGACACAUUUGUGUCGUGGAGAAAGGGAGUAACUUCUCGCUCUGAGAUGAGCCUGCGUCCUAUCAGCUUGUUGGUAGGGUAAUGGCCUACCAAGGCGAUGACGGGUAGGGGGGCUGAGAGGCUGUUCCCCCACAAUGGCACUGAGACACGGGCCAUACACCUACGGGUGGCAGCAACCGGGAAUUGUUCGCAAUGGGCGAAAGCCUGACGAUGUGACGCCGCGUGUGGGAUGAAGGCCUUCGGGUCGUAAACCACUUAAUUGGUCGAUACUUCGACCGAGGAUGAAGCGCCUGCUAACUACGUGCCAGCAGCCGCGGUAAGACGUAGGGCGCAAGCGUUAUCCGGAUUUAUUGGGCGUAAAGAGUGCGUAGGCGGUCUAUUGCAUCUGGUUUUAAAUCUUAAGGCUUAACCUUAAGGCUGAAUCAGAGAUGGGUAGACUAGAGGGUUAAAGAGGAGGCUGGAAUUUCUGGUGGAGCGGUGAAAUGCGUUGAUAUCAGAAGGAACACCAAAGGCGAAGGCAGGCCUCUGGGGAACCCCUGACGCUAAGGCACGAAAGCUAGGGUAGCAAAGCAGAUUAGAGACCUGCGUAGUCCUAGCCGUAAACGAUCCUCGCUGGCUAUUCUUCCCGCCAAGGGCGGAAAUAUGAAAUAUUUCCGCUUUUAGCGGGGGGAGUGGCGAAGCUAACGCGUUAAGCGAGGCGCCUGGGAAGUACGAGCGCAAGCUUAAAACUCAAAGGAAUUGACGGGGAGGAGCACAACCGGUGGAGCGUGUGGUUUAAUUCGAAACAAAGCGAAAAACCUCACCAGGACUUGAAAUAUACUUGCAUGGUAAAGAAAUUUACCAGCCUUCGAGGGUAGUAUACAGUUGCUGCAUGGCUGUCGUCAGCUCGUGCCGUGAGGUGUUCCCUUAAGUGGGGUAACGAGCGCAACCCCUGUUCAAUGUUAAAUAUUCAUUGGAGACCGCCCCCUCUCAAAGCGCAUAGCGAUUUGAGAUUUUCUCAAAAAGCUGUGCUUUUUGAGAGGGGGAGGAAGGUGGGGAUAACGUCAAGUCAGCAUGGUGCUUAUGUCCUGGGCUACACACACCCUACAAUGGACCGGACAACGGGUUGCAACUCAGUAAUGAGAAGCUAAUCUCUUAAAUCGGUCCUCAGUUGGGAUUGAGGGCUGAAAUUCGCCCUCAUGAACAUGGAAUCGGUAGUAAUCGCGGAUCAGCAGGUCGCGGUGAAUACGUUCUCUCCUCUUGCACAC
rnacentral:rRNA from 1 species